UCAAACGGGACUGGUUUUUGUUUCUUAUUUGUUUUCGACGGAAAACUCUUAUCUGUGAGCAUUUGAAUCCUUAUACGGAGGCAAAAACUACUGCAAACCUCUGUCACUAAAAAUCUUGCAAAAAGUUGCUCAGAACUCUUGAGAAAACCCUUCUGUUAUCAUUGCUUAGAUUUUAUCUAUGUUGUAUAAUUUGUUGUUUGGCGUUUGAUUAUCUGCGGUUGAUGGUCUCUACAAAGUUACCGACACGUAAUUGUGAACACGUAUUGUAGCAUCAUCCAGGUACAGAAGAGCUGUAUAAAAUUUCUUUUCAGCUUUUGUCUCAUUUUCCAUCGAACAACAGGAUGUGUUUGCUGACAAAAGCAAAUGAGCAGUUGUUCAUGCUAUUUCCAUGUGCAAAUUUGUUGCUGCUGUCAGAUGUUUUGCAGAGCCACUGAUGCAGAAACCCUUUGGUCUAUUAUCUCUUUCCGAAGAAUUGAAAUCCGUUAUCAUAUCUCUGAGAACUACUGCCAGGUGCUGGAGUUGAUUUAUGCCUAUCGUGUCUCGGAUGAUACUCUGUCAGUUCAGGUGGGGACUGCUGGCUAUUACUGCCAAGAUAAUUUUAAGCAGUUAAAUUUGGAGGAAACAGUGAUAGGCUGAGAUAUUGAUUGGCUGAACCUAGCUUCACUAUAUGGAUCAUAUGAUGUCUGUUUCUUAUGAUUCUUUGAAUAAUUGCAUCCACAUUUAGGUUAUGAUCAAUGCAUUGGCUUGGAUUUAGAAGUAAGGUGAUUGUUCUUGCUACUGCUGAAACUGGUAGUGGAAUCCACCACAAUUUCACUGGCCUACCACUGUCAUGAACAACUGCAUGCCUGGCAUGUGUUGUUUAGAGAGAACAAGUUACUGCCAGAAGUUGGCUUUCAUUGGAACUUUGUAUUUUGUGGGACACAUGCCAGGUGAUUUUGAUGUUCCAGGUAGUGUGCGAAAAUACUUCUUAUUUUGUUGCAAGAGAAGUGAUUGAGACGCAGGGAAUUGGACCGUUGUUAAUGGUAGAUUCGUGGACAAAGGCAAACAUAUGAAAGUAUUAGCUUUGUUUUUGGGUCAAUACCUAUUUUUAUGCCGCUUGCUCUUCUGGUUUUUUUUCCUAGUUUGGAAGCAUGCCUGAUUUUUCUAAGUCAACACUUGAAAAAAAUCAUAUACAUUUUUUUUCAAGUGGUAAAGGAGAAUUGUUGCAGGCUAGAGUAAUGAUGUAAGAAAAAUUGAUGAAUAACGAGCAUGAGGCAACGAGGCCUCUGAAAUGUUACAAUGAAAGCGAAUGGAAGAAGCAUGGACAAGGUGAUUACCUGAGAGGUCAGAGAGGUCUGAACACGAUGUUCAAUGAUGGAUGAGGGACAAUGAUGAAUGGACAGAGUUGAUGAUCCGACAGUGGACUUGUGAAUUGUGACUGCAGCCAUACAAAGUCCUGCAACCAUGUGAGCCUUUUCUGAGUUUCGUACGAAAUUAUUUUGGGACUUUGCUGACAUUUGGCCAUGGACCCUUUCUUUGUGAUCUCAAUCUCCUGACGUUCUAGGAUACUUCAUCUGAAAAAGCUAAUCCAGGACCACUCAACAAAAUGGGAUACUCAUGGCAGAUACUGCUCUACUUUUCCAUUUCUUUCUAAUUUUGCCAUCUAUAUAUGCAAAUUUAUCACUGCUAAAAACUCAGAAACUCAGCAGGCUCAUGUAGGCAAGAAAGAAAGAAACAUUAUUUACUAACAAUAUGAUAUCAGAGUUUUAACAGAUCAUAAAAGAUGAGUGUUCAUAUAUUA